UAAGGGGAAGGGGACCCAGGUGAAGGAACGGAUCAUUAUACAUCUGAAACUAAAUCAUGAAGAACUUUGUAACUUGAUAAUUCACAGUGAUUUGAUGUUUUAAAGAAAAAACCAUUUUUUCUCAUUGAGUUUAUGAUAUCUAAAUGCCAUGUAAUAAAUGCUUUCUCAGUAUUACAAUUUGGGUGGGAAUGGUAGUACUGUUAUCAGAGAGGAGUAUUAAAGUUAAGUUAAAUUAGAUCACUGUAUCACUGUCAUCCCGUUGCUCAUCGAUUUGCUUGAGCGAGCACCAGCAAUGUCUCCAUUGUGAGACUUGUUACUGUUUUUUGGCAUAUCAAAUACGUCACAGGUAGCUUGCCAGGCUCUGCCAUGCGGGCAGGAUACUCUCAGUAGCUUGCCAGGCUCUCCGAGAGGGAUGGAGGAAUCAAAUCCAGGUCAGCCUCAUGCAAGGCAAACACCCUACCUGCUGUGCUAUCGCUCUAGCCCCAGUUAAAUUAGAUGGCACUUUUAAAUAUGUUGCAUAUAUUAUGGUCUAUGCAACUUUCUCUGGUAUUACAUACUUCUAAUGUCUAGUAGAUUUUGCUUUUCUUUACCUAAAAGUCAUCUAAGUUUUGUUCUUUAGUGGGCGAGGGGACAUCCAUCAAUGUUAAGUGGUACUCCGGGCUUUGCACUCAUGAAUCAACUUAUGGCAGUGCUCAGGGACCACAUGGGAUAUCAGGGAUCGAAUUUGGACAGAUGCAUACAAGGCAAGCACCUUACCCCCCAUACUAUCCCUCCAACUCCAUAAGUUUUGUCUUUUUUUACUUUUGUUUGGGGCCACACUUAUGGGUGCUCAAGGCUUACUCUUCAUUCUGUGCUCAUGAAUCACUCCUAUGAGCACAGCAGGACCCAGGGUAAGGUAAGUGAUCUACCUGCUCUGUCAUCUCUCUGGCCCUGAGUUUUGUGUUAUUUUUGUCAAAAUAUGUUAAUAAGCUUAUUUGUGUCUGUGUGUACUAGUACCAGUAGAUUUUGCUAUACAAUGAUACAUGAUAGCCUUUGCAGACUUUUUGUAUUAUAUACAUCAUAUCCCUAAGCUUACUGUUUUGUUUGUUUUGGAUUUGUGGUGGUCUCCCCCAAGCAGUGCCCAGGAAGCUCAGGAGCUCCUCCAUGUUAUUCUCAGCCACCUGGGCUGCUGUUGUGAUGUUGGAGCCUAAGAAUGUGAUGGUGUUCAGCUCUUCAGUGCUGGCUGAAUGCCCCGUGUCCCCUCUCUGCAUCCCACGGGCGCUGUAGUGAAGUGUUCGUAUGGGAACUGAUGGUCCCCAUGCUGCCAGGAGAUGGUCUAGACUUGCCCCUCUUUCCUCACUGGGGACACUUUCCAUAACGAAUCCCAUCUGGGAUACCCACAGCCAUGUCCUUGUCUGCUCUUAUUUAGAUCUUCCUUGUGCUUCUUUUCAGGUGUGGGUUUGUGUGUGCAUUUCUCCCUCUGGGUUUUAAAGCCCCUUUGUUUUUUCUUUUGAGUGGGGCCCUCCCAAACUGUCCUUGGGGACUAUCUGGUGCUGAGGGUCAAGCUCAAGCAGAGCCCCUUUCUUUAUCUGACUGGGCAGUCAGGCUGACACACAUUCUCAUUGCUCUUUCAUUUUCCUUUUCUUUUUUUCCUUUUUGGGUCACACCUGGCGAUGCACAGGGGUUACUCCUGGCUUUGCACUCAGGGGACCAUAUGGGAUGCUGGGAAUUGAACCCAGGUUGGCUAUAACUCCAACCUCUUACCUUUUUUUUACAUUUAUGUUUUGGUUCUUGGAUCACACCUGGUGGUGCUCAGGGCUUACUUGUAGCUCUGCACUCGGUGAACGCUCCUGGCAGGGUUUGGAGGACAAUAUGGGAUGACAGGGAUUGAACCCAGGUUUACCACAUGCAAGGCAAAUGCCUUCCUUACCUGCUGUACUACUGCUCUGGCCCCUCAUUUUACUUUAAAUUUUAAGAAUUUUUAGUUCUUCUCCUGGUCUCACAAAAAUCCACAUAACUUUGUGCACUUUUCUCAACCAUGGUGACUCAGCAGAAGUUAGAGCCUGGGAUUUGGGGACCAUAUGGGAUCCAGGGAUCAAAACCAAAGAGUUGACUCUGCAUGGCAAGCACCCUACCUGCUGUACUAUCUCACCAGCCCCAGAACUGAAAGUUUUAUUUGUUUAUUUGUUUGUUUUGGGUCAGAUCCAGUAGUGCUCAGGGAUUCCUCCUGGUGGUACUCUGGGAACUCUGUGGUGCUGGAGAUUGAACCCAAGUGCCUUGCCCAUUAUACUGUCUCCAUGGCCUCUCAAAUUACUAUUAUUAUGUAAUUGAUUGCUCAGAGAACUUUGAAGAUACUGUAAUAGGACAAAUUUCUAAGUUUACAGAAUUAAAAAUCAUUUCUUAUAUUGAAAAUACAUAGAAAUUUUCAUUGUUUCUUUUUGGUUUUGGACAUGGCACACCAGCAGUGAUGGGGAUCACUCCUGAGUCAGGGUGCCGGAAAUUGAACCUAGACUGGCCAUAUUACAUGCAAAACAAAAACGCCUUACCACUUAUUGUUCCUCCAGAUCCACAUAGAACUUUAUAAAAAUUAAUUUAUUUUUAGUGUUUUGGUCAUACCUAGCAGUGGUCAGGGUUAACUCCUGGCUUUGUGCUCAGGGAUCACUCCUGACAGGCUCAAGGGACCAUAUGUGAUGCCAGGGAUUGAACUGGGUUGACUGCAUGCAAGGCAAGUGCCCUUCCCAUUGUACUAUUGGUCCAGCUCCUCCCCCCUCCCCCCCUGCCCCAUGCCCCAGUCUUUGAAACAUAAUUAGUCUCGUUUCUUUCUGGCAGAAGGAUAAUCACCUGUGAAGAUUUUAGUCAGCCCCAAGUGCUAGGGAGAAAUUCUGAGUGCUGCUAGGGUAGAGAGGUGAGGAAAGCAACAUGGCCACGAAGCCAAAAGGAAGGUGCUGGAGAAUUCUGGGGAGGCAUCAGACAGGCCACCAAUAUAAGUAGAUAUGUGAAUAUAUUGAAUGUGUUUAUUCAGUAUGAAUGUUUUAAUAUAGUAAAACAACGGGAUUCAAAAUGAGGGUGACUGUCAGUGAUCUUUACUUAAUUUAGAAUCUUUUAUUUAAAAUGCACUUGGGUUGGGCCAGAGCGAUAUGCUUUGCAUGCAGCCAACCCAGGUUCAAUCCCUGGCAUCCCAUAUGGUCCCCCGAGCACUGCCAGGAGUGAUUUCUGAGUGCAGGGCCAGGAGUGACCCCUGAGCAUUGCCACCUGUGACCCAAACAGUCAAAAAAAAAUGCAGUUGGGUUGAAGUGAUACAGCAGGUAGGGUGUUUGCCUUUACAUGCCCAACCAGUGUUCAAUCCCAGCAUCCCAUGUAGUCCCCUGAUCCCUUAGUGCAGAGCCAGGAGUAAGCCCUGAGCACUGCUGGAUAUAGCCCCUUUCCCCCCAGUAUGCGUCUGAGCCAGGUCAGCAUUACCGAGGCAAAACCCUGGACUCUCAAGCAUAGUAGAUGCAGCUGAGGAGAGCAGGCAUCCCGCACUGCAGCAUGCAGCCAUGGCGUUCUCAGACCCCUGCAGUUUAUUGCCUGCCCAGUCAGCCAAGAAUCACCGGUGGGGUAUUGAGGUCUUGGAGGAAUAAAUGCAUAUAUACAUAACCCAUACCUGUUUACAUGCAUGUGUAAAAUGGACUUAAGCAGUGAAUAUAUUAAUAUCAAUAAUACACCAAAAUAUUACUUAUUCCCAACUUAGUUGUAUUUUUAUUUGAAUCUUUGAUCUUUUACCAUAUUAAAAUUUCCCCCCCAUAUUAAAAUUUUUUCCUAACAAAUUCUGUAAAGCAAUCUCCCCUUUAUGUUUCAUUUUCAUUUCACCUGUAUUAAAAUAAGUGUGUACUUUCACAUUCCUUUUUUUUUCCCUUUUGAGGCAGGUUGCCAUAUGCAGUGGUACUAGGACUUUUGGGAUUGGAUGCCCUAUCAGUGGAGAAACAAAAAACAUUGGACUCUGUAAACUGCAGCUCAGGGGGCCUACUGCCCAUGUCAACAGCUUUGGGAAGGACCUGGGGCCUGGGGUGUAGCUCAGAGGGUAGAAUAGCAAGGCCAGGAAGGAUCCCUGGCAUUGCAGGAGCAGGGCCUCACCCUUGGGCCCUAGUGCUGAGCCCUGCCCAGUUAUCAGAUUACCUGGAGUCACCCCCAUGUCUGCAAAGUGGACAGGAAAAUUCCCUGUAGAAGUUCAGGGACCGAGCUGCAAAGGUCCACAGGUGCCUCAGGCAGCAGGUAGAUUCUUCUCUGGAAUCAAGUUCCCUGAGGUACAGUGACUGGCUGGAGUGCUCAGAGCAGGCCGAGGGUCAAGUUGGAGUUUCCUCCUAGCUCAGGGCCUGCUCCAGGGCCCUCUUCUCUUCCUCCCUGGACUCUGGAAGAAACUACAUUUCCCAGAGGGCAGUACAGGGACAUGAUACCCAGAAGCCAAGGAGAUGGGCUAUGGGGAGAGAAAGUGUGAUAUCUACCAGACAGAUGAGGUUGGACGCUAGAGGAACUUCUCUUAGAUCCAUCCCUCCAUAACUUUGUUGCAGGGACAAGAAAGAGUGAGGAGAAAGAUUGGGAUGGAGGUGACAUUCAGCUUGCGUACAAGCUGACACCUGAGUGGUGACAUUUUUCUGUAUGGAGUGAGGGUUCCAGGCUGAAGGUCUUGAGGUUCACAGCUUACCUGUCCCCUGGAUGGAGCAAUUUUGUCUUCCCAUAUCUUAGCAUAUUUGGUUCUGGCCCCACCAACCCCGAUUCAAACAUGAAGCGUGCAAUCAGUCACUACUUCUCUGUUGUUUUGAUUUUUCAGCCACACCGAGUCCUGCUCAAGCCUUCUCCUAGCUCUACUCAGGCCACUGUAUAUAGUGCUGGGGGUUGAAUCUGCAAGGCAAGGGAUUUAUCCCCAUGCUCUCUCUCUGAAGCCAGAAAAACACAGCAAAGAUGGAAUUAUUUUUGGAGUGGUCCUGGAACAAUUUAUGAUCAACAGGCACUGCAGUGACAAGUCCUUUUUAAAGGAGAAAUGGGAAUCAAGUAGAAGAAACAUGGAGAAAUUCACGGAGGAGCUGGUGAUCAUUUCUUUAAGCCCACUGCCUUGAAUAUGCCCUUACAAGAAGUCAUAGUACAUCUAAGGCAACAGUUGUCAGUGGGAACCCCAACAGUGAAGAACAUGAGGACACCCUCCUGGACUUCCCAAGACUCCUCACUGGAGGCAGAAGUAGGUCCUUCAGCAACAAGACCAACCUGUGCACUCAUGAGAGAAUCCACACAGGAGAGAAGCCCUACAUAUGUGUGCUCCGUCAGAGAUGCUUCCGCCAGUCCUCUACCCAUCACCGCAGCCUGAGGACUCACCAGAGACUGCCUUCAAAAGUGGUCCCCUGCCAUAGACUUUCUCAUCCACACAUGGCUCUGAGGUGACCAGCCACAGUCUCUCCUUUUUUUCAAGCAUCCGUUCCUGCUGGUUCAUAGAAGCCAGUAGAAUUAAAUCAAAUGACAGAAGUGGCAGCUCAGUGUCCAGCAUGCCACACCAUUAUGAGUAGCAGCAGUGACCUCUUGCAUUGUGUUCCUAACUGCCUGAUUUGUAAACUGCACUUAUCACAGCUGCCUAUUUCUCGAAACAACUUAAUGUAUGUGGGCCCAGAGUCCACUGCAAGUCUAGAACAUUCACUUUACUGAUUGGCAGGGAACACUAGCUUCCUUCAUGGGAGCCAUUAAAUCCUAAAAAAAAAAAAGAAUCUUCUUGGCUUUAGUUUUCCCACUGUGACUUACCUUGUUAUUUAUUGUUUGUGAUAUCCACCACAUUUUCCAGGAUCUGUUCACCUUUCUUCAGUCUUGUUUCUAUUUUUCAUACUUAGUGAACUUUGUUUUAGGCCAAGCCUCAAGGCUUAGGAACUCUUUGCUCAAGGAACACUCCUGGCAGGGCUUGAGGGAUCAUAUGCAGUGCCAGGUGUUGGCCUCAUGCAAGGCAGCUACCCUCCCACUGUGCUGUUAAGUCCUGGGAUGGGAAUUUUAACAAGUAUCAUACUGGGGAGUGGGGAGUGGAAGUGACAGCACCAAAUGACCCCAGACUGCUCCUUACUCCAGGUGGUCAGUCCAGGUCUUUUAGCCUUCUCUCCAGUUUUCUCACAGAUUUUAACUGGUAAAUAUGAAUGAGCACAGGGCCAGAGCAAUAGUACAUUGUUAGGGCAUUUGCCUUGCAUGCAGCCAACCUGGGUUUCAAUACCCGGCAUCCCAGUGGUCCCCCAAGCACUGCCAGAAGUAAUUACUGAGUGUAAAGUCAGGAGUAACCCCUGAGUAUUGCUGGGUGUGACCCAAAAAGUGGGGGAAAAAAUGCACACCUUUAUAAAGAAUUCAAGACGAUUACAUUUCCUAAAACCAAAACCCUGCACACACUUCCCCAUCCACAUUCUUUUAAUUUGCCAUUGGUGACUAUUUCCAGACUCCAUGCUGGUCCUGCAAUGUAAGUUCAAAGUGUGGGUGUGUUUGGUGGCCAAGAACAAAGCCAGCAAUGGAGGGAAGGAGGGAGGGGAAGGAGGGAAGUAAGGGGGAGCAGGGCUACAGGCUGGCUGGUAAUCAGUGGCCAUUUAUUUCAUUUCACAGCAUUAAUUAGUUAUAUAGAAAUUGUGAAGGUUGGAGGUACACAUAGGUGGGGUUGAAGAUUAUAACAACAAACAGAUGUGAAGUCCCUCCUUAGAGUGAAUUUCUUUUAGGGGAUUAACGCAGGGACAAAAUCUCAUUGGGGGUUCAGCACCCUAGGUUACUAGGAGAUCCGCUCAAGGGCAGGAUUCCAUCUAAGGGUGUAUUGCUUUCUCCUUUACUUAGCAAUCCAUUUUAACUAUCCCCUUACUGCACCGUAGCACUGUUGUCCCGUUGUUCGUCUAUUUGCUCGAGCAGGCACCAGUAACGUCUCCAUUGUGAGACUUGUUACUGUUUUUGGCAUAUCAAAUACGCCACGGGUAGCUUGCCAGGCUCUCCAAGAGGGAUGGAGUAAUCAAACCCGGGUUGGCGGCGUGCAAGGCAAAUAAAUGCCCUACCCACUAUAUUAUUCAGUCCUAAUCCAUUUUAUCAAUCAUAUUUACUAAUAUUUCUAGUCAUUUUGUAUGAACACAGUAAGAUAUAUUAAGUUUAAAGAGUGGCUCUUCCUGGGGAAAUCUCAUUACAUAUCCCAGACUAGUCCUCAGGCCAGGUUAGUCUUUUCUAACCCCAGCAGGGUCUGUCAGUUACUUUUUUGGUCAUGGCAGACUUUGUUCCAUGAAUGUGCUCUUAACUUACUAUAUUUCUUAAUGGUGCUUAGCUUGUCCCUUUUUGACAGGGUAGCUUACUGCUUGCCCUGGGUCCAUACAAGUCCCUCAGUGGGACCCUCCUUUUGCGAGUGUUAGGAACUAAGAGCAACAGAGGCUUAAGUCAAGUAAGUAUGAUGGAUGUCGAGGAGUAAGUAUUAUUCAGGGUCAGUUAAUUCACAUGUUACCAAAGCAUAGCAUCAACUCUUCCUGUGUCUAUCCAAAAUGGACAUUGCUAAACUAUGCAAAGGAAAUAAAAGAAAGAAAAGCUAUAUAGGACUAUUAGUGCCUGAUGGAAUUGGGUGUGCCUCAGGAGCAUGGUGGUGGGAGUAACUCAGUAAACAAACUCCCUGCGGGAGGAGCAAGGACAGAAUCAUGAAAUUCGUUGAUCAUCGAUUUUCGAGCAGGCUCAGUAACCUCUCCAUUUGUCCUAUCGCUGAGAUUUUAGAAGCCUCUCUCCACUCGGCCUUCCCAACAAUGCUACAUUGGAGGCUCUGAGUGAGAUCCAGUUUGUUACUGGCUUUAGCAUAUGAAUACACCAUGGGAAGCUUGCAAGGCUGUCCCGUGUGGGCAGGAAUCCCUCAGUAGCUUCAGUAGCUUCUCAGUAGCUUCCAGGGGGAGAAGUAGGUCAUAAGAUAUCUCUCGGCCACUUCGUGGCCUGGCGCUUCUGGGAGCUUGCUUUUAAGUCUCUGGAUAUUGGCCGUUGAUGGGAUUACACGCACCUGGGUUCCUGUGCCGAAUACCUUCAUGCGUGAGGCUUAUCCGUGUGGAGAGGGGCCUUGAGCAUGGACAAACCAGUGUUGUUCAACACAGCAUGGCUCAGGGUUGCCCCUCUUGAGAUAUGGAUGGCAGUGACUGUGAUUAGGGCCCCCACCAAGUCAUAGUGGGCAUUGGGAGCACCUAGACCAGGCCCUUAUCCCAGACUGAACUGCAUGUGGUUGGGAUGGGCCAAGAGGCAGCCCUGUAGCAUAAUGUGGUAAGUUGCAAAUUUCUUGAGCUAGUGAAGUCCUUCAGCAGUGGGAAGGACAGAAAUGCCUUCCUAGCUGCCUUGGGCCCUCAUUGGCACCAGACUUUUCCAUUCAUGAAAAGCUACAGAGUAUCUUCAAAUGUAAGGAGUCCAUAAU